ACGCGCAGAGGCUGCGGAGGGGGCGUGUCGGAAACAGGACUUUUGAAACUUUUGGAAACGCGUGGGGCUGGGAACCGCCGUUGGUGUCGAGUGCGAAUUUCCAAAGCUGGGUGCGUUUUUUCAGUGGCGUCCUGAAAAGGCGUGCGAUCAUUUCUCCAUAAAAAUGAGGUUUUCUGCAAAACGAAACUGAGCGGGUAGCCUGGAGCCGGCUCUCCCACCGCUGACUUGUUCCGCGAGCUCCUGCCUCCGUGUGAUCCCGUCCCUGACCGGCGGUUUUCCUUGUGCUAAGGUCUGCUUUGAUGGUCACGAUUUUUGGGUUUAUUUUCGUGUUUGCAUGAUAGAUCCUUUGCUGUGUUUCUUUUUAACGUAUGAACCGCUGUAAGUGGUUCUGAUAAAUAGCUCCUCAGUCUCUUUACCCAAUCUUAUGUCGUAUUUGGGCCAUUUACAUUUAAUGUAAAUUUUGAGAUGGUUGGAUUUCAGCCUGUCCUUUUAUUAAUUUUUGUUUGUCCUAUGUUUUUCAAGUCUGUUUUCCUGAGUUUACUUUGAAUUACAGGGAUAUUUUUCAAAGUACCAUUUUAAUUUAUAUAUAGACUUUUUAAAUACAUGUGUGCAGUGGUUCGCUCUGCAUUGCUGCAAUGAACUACUUUUGAAGAAAAGCAGCUUAAUUUGGGUCAUAGGUCGGAGGUUCAAGUCGGAACAGCUUUGGAAAGGGACAGGGGGUGACUGGAGCACCGGUGUCUCGGUGGCCUCCCUCGCUCAUAAAUUCACCAGGAUGCAGUCAGGAGGACCCCACCCUGAUCUACUCCAGAGGUCCCACCUCUACAGAGCAGUUGGACUGAGUUUCCAGCCUCUCAAUACCGUUAACAGAAGACUUAACCGUGUGGGGAGGGGGAAGUCACAUACGAACCGUGGCAGUGUCUGCAUAGUUUUUGCAUUUUUCUUAGAAUUCUAUACAACUUAAAGUGAAAUAUAGAAACCAUAUGACCACAUAGGCUCCUUUACUGUCCCCUUCAGGUGCAAUUCUCAUAUAUUCUACAUCUGUAGAAACUGAAAAUCCUAUCACAUGAUGUCAUAAGUUUUUUUGCAAGAGACACUGACAAGCAAGCUCCCAAUGCUGGUUUACUGUCUGAAUACCCACAAUGGCCAGGUCCAGGCCAGUGCUGGAGCCAGGAAUGAGAUCCAGGUCUCCCAUGAGGGUGGUAGAACCCCAGGAACUUGGGCCACCACCUCCCAGGCUGAAGUCAGGAGGCAGAGCCAGGAACUGAACCCGAGUGUUCCAGUGUGGGGUAGACGUGUCCUAGCUGCUACACCAAAUACCCACCUCCCUACAAUUGUUUUUAAAUUGCAGCACUCACAUGUAUUUCACCAAACAUCUGCUUACCCAUACAUUUGCCAUUUCUAUUGCUUUCUUUCCUUGCUCUCGUUUUCCUUCUCAAUGAACUUCUUUUAACAUUUCUUCUAAGGCAGAUCUACGGCAGUGAGUUCUGUUUGUUUCCCUUCUUCUGAAAACGCCUUUAGCUCACCUUUCAUUCCUGAAGAAUAUUUGUUGAAGAAAGGACUGUGUUGGCUGUUGUUUUAAGCACUUUAUAAAUGUUGUUCCACUGUCUCUGUCUCCAUGGUUUUUGAUAACGAAUCUGUCAUCACUUAGCUGUUUGUUCUGUACACAAAGUGUUCACUGUCCCUUCCUGCUUUCAAAACCCAGCUUUCUUGACAUUUGGUUUCACCAGUUUACGAUGUGCCUGGUGUGCUUUCUGUUUUCCUUGUGGCAUUUGCUGUGAUGAACCUGCUUUAAGUAGAAUUUUAUGCAAAUAUAUGUCUUGACCAAAGUUUUGGAAGUUUCAGCCAUUUCUUCAAAUAUUUUGUCUUUCCAGUUUCUCUCUCCUUUUGGGGCUCCUAAAUGUAAAUAUUACUUACUGAUACUGCCCUACAGUUCUGCCAAGUUGUGUCCAAUUUUUAACUUUUCUAUCUAUUUUUCAGACUGGAUAAUUUGUUGAUGUGUCUCCAGAUUCAUGGACUUCUCCUUCAGUCAUCUGUUCUGUUGAACUCCUCUAGUGAAUUUUUCCUUUUGCUGUUGUAUUUUCAGUUCUAAAAUUUCCUUUUAUAGCUUCUGUACUGAGAACUUUGAUCUUCCACUCACUCCAGUGUUUACCUUUCCUCUCUGCAGGAUGAUCACAAGUCUGGAGUCUCUGAUUAUUCCAUCAGGAAACCUCAAAACCGACUUUGUUCAUGCCUCUUCCCUAGCGUUGCUUAUGUAUGCCAAGAAUUUUGGACUGCUUCCUGGAUAGUCUGAGUGAGGGCCUUUCCUCUCUAAGUCUUCAGAAGGUUUUUGUUUUGUUUGAGCAGCUGGUUGGUGUAGUUAGUUUCGGACCACAAUCGCUGGCCAGCUUUCUGUGGGCUCUGAUCCAGCGUCAGUGUCCAGUGCUUUAUGCAGCUGGUACUAGUCUGUCCUAAUAGUCCAUCACCCAGCAGCCAGCCUGAAACCUGGACGGUGGUCUACACUGUGUUUCACCUCCAGUCUUUGCUCAGUUUCUUCUGGGCAGUUUCACGUAUGCACACCUUGGGGGAUUUUAAACACAGAUCUAUUUUCUUCAGCUCCCUCCUAUGUAUGAUCCUACGCACACUCUUGAAUUCCCAGAGAUAAGUCCUAGGUGAUCCGACUAGAAAGUCAUGGCUUUUGCCUGCUCAUACCUCUCCCUGUGUCCCACCCUGUGUCUGCCAUGACUUUACCAGUGGGGAGAGAAGGGCGCUACGUAUGUUGCAUGUUCCCAGGUUCAUGUAGAGCUGGUGAGCCCACAGGCUCCACCUCUCACACGGUUCUACGAGGCAGGCAGGGAGGAAGGCAGGAAGGCAGGGCCGCUGCUCUUGGGAGGCUGUUCUGGAGCAGAACCUGCGAGUUCCUCCGUCCACCUGACUUCCUGGCCCUCUAGUAGAGCAGCACAUUGCUCCUUGGGUCCUUUCUGUGUCAGCUAGCAGUUCCCAUUAAGUGUCUGUGUGGGGUUUUUUACUCGGGUUGAUCUGGCUUCUUGAAUCUGUGGAGUCAUUUCUUUAAUCAGAUUUGAAAAUUCUUCAUCAUAUCUAAAAAUAAUUGUUCUGUCCUACUCCCCGCCCCCCCUUCCUCUGGCAGCUAAUUAAACAUGUUAGAGGAGCCAGUGUUGCGCAUAGCAGGAAAAGCCACCACCUGAAACGCCAACAUAAAUAUGGGUGCUGGUUCGAAUCCCAGCUGCUCCACUCCCGUUCCAGCUACGUGCUAAUGUGCCUAGGAAAGUAGUGGAAGAUGGCCCAAGUCCUUGGGCCCCUGCACCCAUGAGUGUGAGACCCGGAAGAAGCUCCUGGUUUUGGUCUGGCCCAGACCUGGCUGUUGUGGCCAUUUGGGGAGUAACCAGCAGACAGAUCUAUGUCUCUCCCUAACUCUGCCUUUGAAAUAAAUAAACUUUUUCUAAAAAUGUUAGAAUUUCUCUCACUAUAUGCUCUAGAUAAGUGUACUUCAAAAAGGUGAUGGAAAAUGGAAUCAGGAGAUGUUUUGGUGUGAAAAUUUUUAAAUCUGGUUUCAGUAAUAUACAUCUUCCAUGAACUUUUUGAAGACCUUUGGUCUAUCUUACUUCCACCUGUCGCUCCAACUGCAUUCUGGAUAAUUUCUCCUGAGCUCUUUUUCAGUAUAAACUCAUCCACUGGCUAUGUAUUAUUCUGCUAUUAAUUGUUUACUGAAUUUUAAUUUUUAUAUAAGCUUGCAAUAUUCAGUUUAUUCUCCAAAUGAGCUCCAUCACUUUUUAGUUUUUAUUUUAUGCAGGUGCCCUCACACUUACCUUUAUUUCUUUAAACACAAAAAGCAUAAAUACCCCAGUCUUUGUGAUUGUUUUCACUGUUCUAGUUCUUGCUUCCAGAAUCUGGCUUCCUUGUGUAUUUACUUAUUGUCUACUGUAUGUUAGUCGGUAUCCUAUUUGAAGAGUAGUGUGAAGCUACAAUGGAAAUACUUUUCUGCAGACAGGAUGUACACUUUUUCUUGGCGCCUGGAGGGAACACCUUACACCAAGUGUAGUGCUGCAUGCGACACUUUAGACUGUGCCGGCAGUCCUAAAUGUGCAUGUUUCAUACGCUCCACUGCCAUCCUGCACAGGCAGCCUUUGGGCGUCUCAGCCUGUUGGGCGAAGGUCUCCUGUUGGAUUCACCACCUCACGAGGGCCUUGCAGCUUUGAUUAUUGUCCCUAAUGCCGUAAGAGUGUCACAGUAGGAGCCCGUGCUCAUUUUUUCUCUUUACUUUUGGGCGGGGCAUUCCUUAUUAAAAUAUCUUUGAUGCUUUAAGAGGAUGUAAUCAGUUUUGGUUGUUUUUAAAAAGAGCAGGGAUCUAAGUAUCCUAGCAUGCAGUUUCUAGAAACAGCUUCCCUGAGGUGCGUCUUUGUUCCUACACAGAUAACAACUAUUUUUUCUCUUGGCAUUCUCUGCACUUAACACAUAUAAUUUGUGGCAGGGAAUCCAUAAAUUAUCAAUUUAAGCUAUUUUUAUCUAGAGCUGCUCAAACAAAUCUGUACUUGUUAUUUGCUAUUAGUUGCUACAUGUAACAAAACUUCAGUCUCAGAGGUUUAUUUUGUUAGAGUGUCCAAGGGUCAGGAAUUCCUAGGUGGCUUCAUUGGGUGGUUUCAAAAGUUGUGGUCAAGAUUUUGGCAGACACUGAAAUGUGGUUUGACAGGGUUGGAGGAUCCACUUCCACUCCACGUGCUGGAGGAUUCAGUUCUGCCCAUGAAGCUGCCCACGCCUGCAGCUCCGUCUCCUGAGCGCGAGUUAUCUAGUAGAAAGGGAGGAAGCUGGAGACAGACAGGCAUAUGGGGAAGAGGGAAAAUGCACAAGAGAUAGGAGCCGGAGUCUUCCAUAAUGUGCUCUCAGAAGUGACCUCCAUUACUUCUGUCACUCACAAAGACCACACUGUACAGACUGGGAGGGGACCACGCAAGGGUGUGAGUACCAGGCAGAGGGAGUCACAGGAGGUACUUUCAGAGGUUAACAUCUUACAAAACAGAACCCCCACCCCCCACCGGCAUUAUAUUAACAGCCUCAUGAUAAAGUACUUGAAUUAGGCCUAUUUUGUCGUAUGUAAAAAUCAUGAAAAUAGAGUUGUGAAUUUUAUUAAUGCAAAUGCAGAAAAUGCUUCCCUACAGGAAUUCAUUUUAAAUCACGUGUCAUUAGAAACUAAAACCAAAACAAACAUUAAUUGGGAACAGGACUGGAAACUACUGAAAAUAUGAUUUGGGAAAAAAUACCAAUGUGUCAGCUAGGUGGUAAAAGAUACAUUUAGAUAGCAAGGGCUUAGUGUCUCAUAGGAAAACAAAGUUUUAAAAGACAGCUCAAACAAAAAAUAACCUUAUCAGUAUUUUGGUCAUAAAAUUGCUAGGAAAAAAUAUUUUUCCUACUAAAACAUGUCAUAAUUCCAAAUAUGUGUUUUUCUUGUUUCUGUAGUUAAGGUGCUUGUGUCAACCACUGAGUAAAAAAGGUCUUACAGAAGCAAUGUAUCUUUAUUUUUUUAAUUAAUUAAUUAAUUACUUUUUUUGACAGGCAGAGAGUGGACAGUGAGAGAGAGAGACAGAGAGAAAGGUCUUCCUUUGCCGUUGGUUCACCCUCCAACGGCCGCCGUGGCCGGCGUGCUGCGGCAGCGCACCGCGCUGAUCCGAUGGCAGGAGCCAGGUGCUUCUCCUGGUCUCCCAUGGGGUGCAGGGCCCAAGCACUUGGGCCAUCCUCCACUGCACUCCCUGGCCACAGCAGAGAGCUGGCCUGGAAUAGGGGCAACAGGGACAGAAUCCGGCGCCCUGACCAGGACUAGAACCUGGUGUGCCGGCGCCGCAAGGCGGAGGAUUAGCCUAGUGAGCCGCGGUGCCGGCCCUUAAGCAAAGUAUCUUUAAGAUUCUAAAUAUGAGCCAUAUAACCCAAAGCAAGUGAUACUGUAAAAUUGUGUUCUUCAGCCUGCUUCAUUUUUUAUAAGAGGGAAGAUCAGCAGGAAUGUACUUCAAAGUGUGUGUGUGGAAAAGUGGAAUUAAAAACUAAGCAACAGAAUUUUUGAAAUCCAGGCAUAGCUUCUUCUCAUAUUACAUAUUUUCCAUGAACUUCUGAGUAUUCUCAUAUAGUCACUGUGGAAAACAGUACAGAGGUUCCUCAAAAAUUGAAAACAGAACUACUGUAUUAUCCAGCAGUCUCACUACUGGGUAUACAUGCAAAGAAAAUGAAGUUAGUGUGUCGAGACACCCACACUCUCAUGUCUACUCCAACACUGGUCGUUAGCAGCAAGAUGGAAUCAAUCUAAGUGCAAACCAGUGGAUAAAUCGAGGACGACACUGGAACAGACACAGGAUGGAAUUCAGCCUUUAAAAAGAGGGAAAUCCUGUAUUUUGUGACAACAUGGAUGAACCUGGGGGACGUUACGUUAAGUGAAGGAAGUCAAGCCCAGUAAGACAAGUACUGAAUGAUCUCAUUUAUAUGGAAUCUAAACAAGCUCACGCUCAUAGAAGAGAGGAGAAUGCCGGUUGCCAGGGACUGGGGUGGGGGAAGGGGACUGAGGAGACACUGGUUACGAGAUACAAAAUUUGAGUUAGGUGGAAUAAGCUCGAGAGAUCUACUGUACUAUACCUGGAAAUCUAGGAAUGUCAGUGGAUUUUAUACUCGGAAAAGAUAAGGGAAGGAAAUAAGCCUGUUUUGCUGCUACUGCACCUAAAUCUUGGAAAGAGUCAUAGGAAAAUGCUUUUAAAAAGGGUCACCUGUUGGGACUGAGGAGUGGAAAGAUUAAGGGUGGUGUGUACGUGGUGCGAGGCAAAACUUAACAUUAGGUUUUAAUAUUUGUUUUGACCUUUGGCAUCAUGUAUAUAUUACAUGAAACUUUUCUUAUUUCGCAAAAAAAGAGAACAGUAUGGACUGGAAGUUUGUUUUAUUUCAAGAUAUUGUCUGUAAAAUUUGAAACACAUUAAAGUUAGGAUUACUGUUAAAAAAUAAAAUUUCUAUUCUUUAUAUAUGAAAUAUCACAAUCUAGGCUGCUUAUUCCAGGGAGUUGAAACACCAGCCUGCUACUUUAUGACUAAUUAAAAGGUGGAAUAUUCAAACACCAAAGUCCAGUUUAAAAAGAAAAUUCAGUCCUUCUACAAGAUUACAUACUUCUCGGAUUUUCAACUCUUGUCCAGACAAGCUAAACACACCCACUGCCACAGGUCCUCAGUGUCCCGUCUCGUCAGUCUCCGCCACCUGGUCACAGUCCCUCUCUCUACGGCAGCUAUUAAAAACUGCCGCUACAUGUUAAUGAUAUGCUUCACACAUUUGGCUCCACAAGGGAGAGAACUAUUUUAUUGAUCUUUCAACAAAUGAACCCUAAUAAAGUGCUCUGUACAUAUCAAGUACACACACACAGUUUGUCAGAAAGCUGCAUAUGUCACUUUCAAAACUGAGAGAAGAGUAGUAUUAAAAAGCCUAAGACCAAAAAUAGAUCAUUAUAGACUGAGUACAAAGAGCCACUGUAUUUCUCAGCCUUCACUAAGAUUUCAACUUAAGUACCGACGUGAACAACACGACUGAAGGGUGUAACAACGCAGUCAGGGCCGUGAACUGCCUCCACAGAGUGCCUGAAGAUGUGCUCACCCUGAGGGACACCACUCCCAUUCUAGCUGAAUGUGAAGACUUCAUGGAGACAAACCCCAACUCUUCAUUCUGUCAUGGCAGAGGCUAACGUAAAUGCAGUUUUCUUCAACUGUGCAAUUACUUCCACCGCAAUAUAAACACACACUAUACGAUGAAAAAGUUUGAUAUGCAAUCAUUUUUAUCUCACACCAUUUCAAUAAAUUUCACAGGUUAUGAAUAUGCUGCCAUUUUAUUUGAUAUCUGCAACAUUUUACACUGUGUAUAAAGUAGCUGUUUCCAGAAGACUGCUUCUCCUUCACCCCGUGUCUUUGGCUAGUUCUGCAGCUGUAGGGUUCUACUCUCAGUAGGGAGCACCUGCCCAAACUGAUUGACAUUCUCAGUCUCUCCUAGCCUGACACUUCAGAUCCUGAGUUACAAACCUGAUUUAUCUUCAAGUUGAAAUGCUUCAUAAAUAUUUUUCUUAAGACUAUUUAGUGCAGUUUCUUUUUCUUGAGAUACACAGUGUUUUUGAUACAAAAACAUUUCAUGUAACAAGAAAAAACCGUCAAGCUGAUUACAUUCCAUACACCUCAAAUGACAGAAUAUAUUAAUAGAUGCCCUUUAUUUUCUUUCUCCCCUUUCCCCACGACCCCCAAUAAUUUCGUUUUUGCUGUUUGAAGAGGAGCGCUCUGUCAAGUUUCAAAUGUAAAGACUUUAACUUGUGUUAAUAUCCUUUUAUAAAAAUAACCAGCAUAUAAAGAAUUUAAAGUAUGAAAAAGUUCCUUAGGAUUACCAGGAAAUUUCUACAGAUUAAUGUGAUAGUGAAAAAAAAAAAAAAAGAAAGAAAAUAAACAUCUGCUUCAGGCUGCGUCUGUGGCUACACCAUGCCGAC